rnacentral:rRNA from 1 species
ACUUGUUGCCUCGGCGGAUCAGCCCGCUCCCGGUAAAACGGGACGGCCCGCCAGAGGACCCCUAAACUCUGUUUCUAUAUGUAACUUCUGAGUAAAACCAUAAAUAAAUCAAAACUUUCAACAACGGAUCUCUUGGUUCUGGCAUCGAUGAAGAACGCAGCAAAAUGCGAUAAGUAAUGUGAAUUGCAGAAUUCAGUGAAUCAUCGAAUCUUUGAACGCACAUUGCGCCCGCCAGUAUUCUGGCGGGCAUGCCUGUUCGAGCGUCAUUUCAACCCUCAAGCACAGCUUGGUGUUGGGACUCGCGUUAAUUCGCGUUCCUCAAAUUGAUUGGCGGUCACGUCGAGCUUCCAUAGCGUAGUAGUAAAACCCUCGUUACUGGUAAUCGUCGCGGCCACGCCGUUAAACCCCAACUUCUGAAUGUUGACCUCGGAUCAGGUAGGAAUACCCGCUGAACUUAAGCAUAUCA